AACUAAUUAUACGACUGACGGAAGUGGAAUAGACCACAGGGAGUAUAAGGUGUUGGAGGCCGACCGUCUGGGCAUAGGAG
rnacentral:ncRNA from 2 species